ensembl:lncRNA
GUGCUGUAGCUAUACGAGUCCACUCCAGCUGGAGACAGUAUCACAGCUGCGAAUGGCUCAAAAAAAAAUUCCCCGGGAGAAUCGUCUGAAGUCACUUUGGCACCGAACAUUUCAAUCGCAUUUCUGCACAGAUAAAGUAUUCAAGGCACUCCCCACCCCCUUGUACCCUGCUGCUGCCCCCGUCACUCCUGCUACACCGGUGACCCCAGCUGCCACCCCUGAAACUGCCACGUCCACCUCACCUUCAGUAAUACUCAAGCGCCGGACCGCAAGGAAGCCGGUCCCAGAGAGGGAGCUGGACAGCAGGAGUGGCAGUGAGGAGGUGGUGAAGGAAGAACAAGGACCUCAGAAAAAAAGAGCACGGGUUGACAAAACACAGGACAGCACAGCUCCCAGGAAAGCAGCUGUGAAGAUGGAGAAACCAGAGGAGAAAAGCGUGGAAGACAAAUAGGAGUAAAAGCGUGGAAGACAAAACAAAAUUGUGGAAGACAAAAAUGAGAAGAGUGAGGGAGAAGGAAAGCUGAGCACAGAGAAGUGGAAAAGGUGGCUAGUAUCACUGAGGACGUUAAAGACAAUAAAGGGUAAGAGGGAGACAACUGCCAAUAAUGCAUAUAUUUACUUUACACCAGUGGUCACCAACCGAUCUCCAAGCCAUUCCUUUUUUUAUUAUCGUUUUGUACUUUUUUACCCGUUUUUCCUCCCCAAUUUUGUGAUAUCCAAGUGGUAGUUAGUCUUGUCCCAUCGCUGCGACAGUCGAGAGCCAUGCGUCCUCUGAAAAACCACCCUGCCAAGCCGCAUUGCUUCUUGACACACUGCUCCCUUAACCCGGAAACCAGCUGCACCACUGUGUCUGAGGAAACACCGUUCAGCUGAGCUACACCAUUUUGUGAUGCAAAACAUGGGCUGGGCUACAUGAUGCAUGCGACUGAUUUGAAAAAGUUGCACACAGAAGAAGGCAUGUGCUGUGCAUCAUUCACAAGUGAUAAUACUCUCACCAUUCAGACUAUUCUCAAUUUAAACUUGUCUUUAAAUGUGUGUGAAAUUUGUUUCGAUUUCAAAUGGGGCAUUUAUCAUGCACCUGUCAGAGCAGGGGCAGUGAAAAAACGAAAGACGCCAUCAGUAUGCACUUGAAUAGUAAAGGACGCUUUUCCCACUGUUCAUUUUCAUGCCAGCCAGGCAGGCUACUCUAAUUGUAAAGAUUAAAAAAAAUGCUUAAUCUAUGGAAAGUUGAGGAAUAAAUAUAAUAGUCCUAGCCUAUAGAAAGCUAAUGGGUCCUCUAUUAAAAAGAGGCCAUCAACUCUGUUUUCUCAUGCAAUUGCCUUGCCUAUGGAAAUGUUGUGCAACAAACACUUUAUUCCAUGCAUCAACCAG